rnacentral:misc_RNA from 1 species
AAUCAAAUCCUGGGAUAAGCUUUAGCAUGUAAGCCCCACCAUUGUUGUUCAUAGAACAAAUUCUUCUCAAACUAUUUGGAUUGGAAGCAUGACAGUUAGCAAUUGCACUGCAUGAUAAAGACUUUAUUAGAUGACCAUAGUAUCCAAUCUAUUGUGUUGUUUUCGAAGCUCUUUCAUUCUUUUGUCUAUUUCAUCAAAGAUAUCUCCCCUAUUUGUCCUCCUAACCAUAUCAGCCUAGGUUGCAAAAACAUAUCCUUGUACACACUAGCCAGAAUUGACAGCAUUAAGGACUUAGCUAGGCUUUUGCCUAGAUGCUAUAAAGAUGCCCUUCCUAUAUAGUCAAUGCACAUUUCGGCGAUGGAAGGAAACUUGGUGAUUGGUCAUUUUGUUAGUCAAAUUGUUGAUUUGCAUUCCUUGUUUUGUAUUUAGUACUAAUAUUAUUGUUAUUAUAUCAAUGAAGUUUUCUUCUUCAUAA